rnacentral:rRNA from 1 species
AUUGAACGCUGGCGGCAUGCCUUACACAUGCAAGUCGAACGGCAGCACGGGAGCAAUCCUGGUGGCGAGUGGCGAACGGGUGAGUAAUACAUCGGAACGUGCCCAAUCGUGGGGGAUAACGCAGCGAAAGCUGUGCUAAUACCGCAUACGAUCUACGGAUGAAAGCAGGGGAUCGCGAGACCUUGCGCGAAUGGAGCGGCCGAUGGCAGAUUAGGUAGUUGGUGAGGUAAAGGCUCACCAAGCCGUCGAUCUGUAGCUGGUCUGAGAGGACGACCAGCCACACUGGGACUGAGACACGGCCCAGACUCCUACGGGAGGCAGCAGUGGGGAAUUUUGGACAAUGGGCGAAAGCCUGAUCCAGCCAUGCCGCGUGCAGGAUGAAGGCCUUCGGAUUGUAAACUGCUUUUGUACGGAACGAAACGGCCUUUUCUAGUAAAGAGGGCUAAUGACGGUACCGUAAGAAUAAGCACCGGCUAACUACGUGCCAGCAGCCGCGGUAAUACGUAGGGUGCAAGCGUUAAUCGGAAUUACUGGGCGUAAAGCGUGCGCAGGCGGUUAUGUAAGACAGUUGUGAAAUCCCCGGGCUCAACCUGGGAACUGCAUCUGUGACUGCAUAGCUAGAGUACGGUAGAGGGGGAUGGAAUUCCGCGUGUAGCAGUGAAAUGCGUAGAUAUGCGGAGGAACACCGAUGGCGAAGGCAAUCCCCUGGACCUGUACUGACGCUCAUGCACGAAAGCGUGGGGAGCAAACAGG